AGAUCUGUGGUCUGUGAUGUAUUUCUGUGUCUGAUUAAAACAUGAGGCAUUUUACAGUACUCGUCACUACCACUGAGACCACAGUGUU
ensembl:snoRNA